GAUGAACGCUAGCGAUAGGCUUAACACAUGCAAGUCGAGGGGCAGCAUGGUCUUAGCUUGCUAAGGCUGAUGGCGACCGGCGCACGGGUGCGUAACGCGUAUGCAACUUGCCUCACAGAGGGGGAUAACCCGUCGAAAGACGGACUAAUACCGCGUACACUCUAUGUUGGGCACCCAAUGUAGAGGAAAUGAAAUUCGCUGUGAGAUAGGCAUGCGUCCCAUUAGCUAGUUGGUGAGGUAACGGCUCACCAAGGCGACGAUGGGGAGGGGAACGGAGAGGCUGAACCCCCGGACUGGAACUGAGGCACAGACCAGACUCCGACGGAGGACAGCAGUGAAGAAUAUUAGUCAAUGAACGAGAGCCUGAACCAGCCAAGUCGCGUGAAGGAUGACUGUCUUAUGGAUUGUAAACUUCUUUUAUACGGGAAUAACAAGAGUCACGUGUGGCUCCCUGCAUGUACCGUAUGAAUAAGCAUCGGCUAACUCCGUG
rnacentral:rRNA from 1 species